CGGAAGAGGAAUUGAGUGCAGAAGACGAUAACUAUGAAAAUAUCGUACAGUGGUUAAAAAAUAACUACGAACCGUGGCCACAAGUGAUUGAACAUUGGAAGGAAACGUCCAAAACCAGGCUAAAAAAGUACAACGAGAGUCAGUCUACAAUAUUUGAAUAUUUAACAACAUUCCCUGGACUUAAGAGACCUCUUGGAUACACUUUAUUUGAAGUGGAUUUCCAAAAACUUUUCCCGAAUCAGGAAUACAAUUUAUACGCAAAAAUUAAUGAUUUUGUCGUGAAAAUUUUGAGCUUAGCCAAAAAUUCAAAAGAUGUAAAUGUAAAACAUUACUUAGAGAAGUUGUCAGAAAGUCAGUCUGAAGAUGCCACUAAUGCACUUGCAUUAUUAAUUUUACCCCAUCUUGUCCAAACAAGUGUCAUAUCAAGUACGUCACAAUCAAAUCCAAAAAAAAAAAAAUAAGAUGGAGACCGUCAAAAACUGAGUGCCAGGAGACGUUUUUACUGCAUGUUCCAACAGCAGACGAAGUGAAGGUGGUGCUAGAACAGCAGCGGAACAAAUUUCUUAAUAAGUGUGAUACAUUUCAACCCCUACCCAUUGUGGUAGGUAACUUUGAAAAUUGAAGUUGCAUGUUACAAGUAGACUCUUAUCUAUAUAGCGUAGAGAGCGUAGUCAAAUGUUUUGAUGUAUGUUUCAAAAUGUUCCACGUUUUAAAUGCAGAAUAUCCGUCUCCAAGUAAGCAUCUUUGGCAGUUAAUUCAACAGCACAUAUACAAUAUUCACGAUGCAAAACAUGAUGUAAAUUACAUUUCCGUCAAUACAUUUUUGAGUCAGUUGAAUAACUGUUAAAUUUUU